rnacentral:rRNA from 1 species
ACUUAGUGGCGGACGGGUGAGUAACGCGUGGGUAACCUGCCUCACACAGGGGGAUAACAGUUGGAAACGACCGCUAAUACCGCAUAACCCGCCGGUGCCGCAUGGCACUGACGGAAAAGAUUUAUCGGUGUGAGAUGGACCCGCGUCUGAUUAGCCAGUUGGCAGGGUAACGGCCUACCAAAGCGACGAUCAGUAGCCGGCCUGAGAGGGUGAACGGCCACAUUGGGACUGAGACACGGCCCAAACUCCUACGGGAGGCAGCAG